rnacentral:rRNA from 1 species
UACGAAGGGGGCUAGCGUUGCUCGGAAUUACUGGGCGUAAAGCGCACGUAGGCGGAUUGUUAAGUCGGGGGUGAAAUCCUGGAGCUCAACUCCAGAACUGCCUUCGAUACUGGCGAUCUAGAGUCCGGGAGAGGUGAGUGGAAUUCCUAGUGUAGAGGUGAAAUUCGUAGAUAUUAGGAAGAACACCAGUGGCGAAGGCGGCUCACUGGCCCGGUACUGACGCUGAGGCGCGAAAGCGUGGGGAGCAAACAGG